UCCCUUGUAGCUCAGUGGGUAAAGAAUCUGCCUGCAGAGCAGGAGAUCAGGGUUCGAUCCCUGGGUUGGGAA
rnacentral:tRNA from 1 species